UCCUAAUGAUGAAUGCUCAGUCACUAAGUAACCAAAGCUGUUGUUUGGCAGGUCAAAUGAUCCUUAAGGAUCCUACAGAUGAUUAUCCAUGGCUUGCUAUAACUUUGGGUCCAAGUGAGCGUGCUGUUGAUGAGUACAGGAGGAUGAACAAGGUGGACGAGGAGGUUGGUGAACAAGCGCUACACAAGACCCCAAAAGUCCACCUUCGUUCCAAAGGGUUGACCCUUGUUGACACAAGACUGGACACAAGCGAUGACAAACGUGAGCUUCUACGUAACUUGGGGAGACAGAGGGAAGUCUAUUGCCUAACCUGUGGCAAACCAUUCGACAACCGUCAAGCAUAUGGAGGGCACAAGGGCCAAUGCAAACAAAAUCAGCCUUCGUGUGGACCACAGAAAUUCUUCUGCAAGUAUUGUGCAAAGGAUUUCCCAGCUUUGGCAUCAGUAUUUGGACAUAUGGGAAGCUGCGCCAUGAGAGAGUUAUAAAGUUGUAACAGAGGGCAACACUCAAGAAGUUGGUGUCAACCCUAAUUGAUGAGUAGGUGAAGUAAAAAAAAGAAGGGCCAACUUUGUCUUGUCGGAGCUCUAUAUCUCUUUCUUCGUCAUGAGAAAAGUUCCAUAUCUGGUGGUUUUUGUUGGCAACAACACUCACAUGUAAAUGAUAGUUUGGAUGAACCUGGUUUAGCCUGGUGGUUCCAUAUCUGGUGGUUCCGUCUAUCUGGUUUAACCUGUACUGUUGUUGCCAUUUUCAUUUCAGCUAACCAGCUGAUCAGUCUUUAGUUAGACUAUUGUGGAUAGGUUGUGGUGUCAUUAAGCUACACUUACAAGGCAAUUUUCUCAAGGAAUCUUGUCAUAUGUGAAUGUUUCCCCCUUUUAGAACUCGGUGAUGAAA